AGCGAACGCUGGCGGCAGGCCUAACACAUGCAAGUCGAACGAACCUUUCGGGGUUAGUGGCGGACGGGUGAGUAACACGUGGGAACGUGCCUUUAGGUUCGGAAUAACUCAGGGAAACUUGUGCUAAUACCGAAUGUGCCCUUCGGGGGAAAGAUUAAUCGCCUUUAGAGCGGCCCGCGUCUGAUUAGCUAGUUGGUUGAGGUAAUGGCUCACCAAGGCGACGAUCAGUAGCUGGUCUGAGAGGAUGAUCAGCCACAUUGGGAUUGAGACACGGCCCAAACUCCUACGGGAGGCAGCAGUGGGGAAUCUUGCGCAAUGGGCGAAAGCCUGACGCAGCCAUGCCGCGUGAAUGAUGAAGGUCUUAGGAUUGUAAAAUUCUUUCACCGGGGACGAUAAUGACGGUACCCGGAGAAGAAGCCCCGGCUAACUUCGUG
rnacentral:rRNA from 1 species